GCCAGCUGUAAAAUGUCACAUGGGAUGUGCCUGUAGAGAGAUUUCCCCUACCAAUUAAGUUUCCUCUUUUUCGUGACAGACUGUCCUUUUCCUCCACAGGAGUGUGUGCAUCCCAGGCAGGCGUGUUUGGGUGAGGAUAUUAAACCCCUUAAUGUCUCUACCCUAUAUUGCUACUCUGUGGAGUUUGGGAGGGCUGCCUCAGAGAGGAGGAAAUGGUCUCAAAAUGGAAGCCUUGCUGGUUAGUCCAGGACAUGUGACUCUGAUCCCAAAUCAGUUCACCUCUGUUGAUAAGUUAAGUUCUCAGUUUGUUUCAAAGGGCUUUGCCCUGCUACUUUAAUGUGCUGAAAAUCUUAAAUGUAAGGAAAUAUAUUCUCCUUUAAAAUUGUAAAUUUUAAGCAUCCAUUACCUGCUGAAUUGUAAAACACUUGAUCAUAACUUUAAUUUGCUUGAGGAAAUGCCAGUAUCUCUUAAACAGGGCUUGUAUUUGUUCAUAGGAAAACAUGAAUUCCUGCAGGAGAAUCUGUAAAUACUCUUAUCUGCACUGCAGAGACUUUACUCCACUUCAGACUGGGUAGAGGCUUUCCAAGAAGGUGUUGAAUACGCAGUAGUAACAGCUAUAACAGUCUAAGGAAAUAACACUUCAGAAGCCAGCCUGUAUCCCCAUGUCUCCUGAGCACAGUUUGUGUCUGCCAGCAAUACCGACUGGAUCUGCUGAAAAACUGAGAGCUGGGAGUCCUCAGCAUGCAGAGCACCUGGGCAGCGUCCCUGCGAGAGCCGUCAGAGCGGCCUUGUUCCCUGCAGAGCACGCAGGGCCCCAGGGCCAGCUGUGGCUGACCGAUGGCUGGCAAGGAGCACGCGGUGAGAGACCUGUUAGGUCUCUAGGCUGGAGCCAUCUAGGACCCCAAGUGUCUUAG
rnacentral:lncRNA from 1 species